rnacentral:rRNA from 1 species
UAACAGGAUUCCCCUAGUAACGGCGAGUGAAGCGGGAAGAGCUCAAAUUUAAAAUCUGGCAGUGUAUUCUGUCCGAGUUGUAGUCUAGAGAAGCAUCAUCCGUGCUGGACCAUGUACAAGUCUCUUGGAACAGAGCGUCAUAGAGGGUGAGAAUCCCGUCCUUGACAUGGACUCCCAGUACUUUGUGUUGUGCUCUCAACGAGUCGAGUUGUUUGGGAAUGCAGCUCAAAAUGGGUGGUAAAUUCCAUCUAAAGCUAAAUAUUGGCGAGAGACCGAUAGCGAACAAGUACCGUGAGGGAAAGAUGAAAAGCACUUUGGAGAGAGAGUUAAACAGUACGUGAAAUUGUUGAAAUGGAAACGCUUGAAGUCAGUCGCGUUYUYUGGGAUUCAGCCUUGCUUUUGCUUGGUGCAUUUCCUWGUYUACGGGCCAGCAUGAAUUUUGACCAAUGGAAAAAGGCUUGGGGAAUGUGGCACCUUCGGGUGUGUUAUAGCCCCUUGUCAUACACGUUGGUUGGGAUUGAGGUCUUAGUGCACGCUUCGGUUGUGCUUUGAUGCUGGCGUAAUGGCUUUAAGCGACCCGUCUUGAAACACGGACCAAGGAGUCUAACAUGUCUGCAAGUGUUUGGGUGCAAAACCCGAGCGCGUAAUGAAAGUGAUAGUUGGGAACCUCUUCAGAGGGGCACCGACGCCCGGACCAGACCUUCUGUGACGGAUCCGAGGUAGAGCAUAUAUGUUGGGACCCGAAAGAUGGUGAACUAUGCCUGCAUAGGGUGAAGCCAGAGGAAACUCUGGUGGAGGCUCGUAGCGAUUCUGACGUGCAAAUCGAUCGUCAAAUGUGGGUAUAGGGGCGAAAGACUAAUCGAACCAUUGGUUGUGCUACUUGGUGGUUAARAGGCAUCUGAAAGGAUUAGCCUAGUAAGCGUUGAGGAUUGCGACACUGUCAAAUUGCGGGGACGUCCUAAAGCUUUUGCGACCAAGCAUUUGUGGAAACMCAAGUGUGGCCRARUUAWUAGCCCUGGGUAUGGUAAUACUGCAAAARAUGUUACAWKGRAUAAUCCGCAGCCAAGUCCUAAGGAUCCUGGAUUUUGUUUCUAUUUUUUAGUAAAUAAAUAUCGGGGUCUAUGGAUGCAGUUCACAGACUAAAUGGCAGUGGGUGUGUAUUGAGUUGGGAUUGAUUCUGACUCUGCAUGCUUAAGAUAUAGUCGGUCCUGCCGUGAAAGCGGACUGGUGGAUGAAGUUCAGUGGUCCCUCAACUUAAAGGCCAUUGCUCUGGAGCCACUGGGUGUGCUUGGGGAUUUUAUUUUAUAUUUUUAUAAGAAUAAUUCUCAGGUGCAUGGG